rnacentral:rRNA from 1 species
GACGAACCGAGCGAACGUUGUUCGGAAUCACUGGGCUUAAAGGGCGCGUAGGCGGGCAUUCAAGUCUGUGGUGAAAUCCUCCAGCUCAACUGGAGAACUGCCGUGGAUACUGGGUGUCUCGAGGAAGGUAGGGGCAUGCGAAACUAAUGGUGGAGCGGUGAAAUGCGUUGAUAUCAUUAGGAACUCCGGUGGCGAAGGCGGCAUGCUGGACCUUUUCUGACGCUGAGGCGCGAAAGCCAGGGGAGCAAACGGG